rnacentral:rRNA from 1 species
UACAGAGGUCUCAAGCGUUGUUCGGAUUCAUUGGGCGUAAAGGGUGCGUAGGUGGCCAACUAAGUCAGACGUGAAAUCCCUCGGCUUAACCGGGGAACUGCGUCUGAUACUGGACGGCUUGAGUUUGGGAGAGGGACGCGGAAUUCCCGGUGUAGUGGUGAAAUGCGUAGAUAUCGGGAGGAACACCAGUGGCGAAGGCGGCUUUCUGGUCUGCUCUUGACGCUGAGGCGCGAAAGCUAGGGUAGCAAACGGG